rnacentral:hammerhead_ribozyme from 1 species
GUACAGCUGAAGAGUCUCAAACUAGGACGAAACAGGUGUCCAGUAC